rnacentral:rRNA from 1 species
GACGAACGCUGGCGGCGUGCUUAACACAUGCAAGUCGAACGGAAAGGCCCUGCUUUUGUGGGGUGCUCGAUUGGCGAACGGGUGAGUAACACGUGAGUAACCUGCCCUUGACUUUGGGAUAACUUCAGGAAACUGGGGCUAAUACCGGAUAGGAGCUCUUGCUGCAUGGUGGGGGUUGGAAAGUUUCGGCGGUUGGGGAUGGACUCGCGGCUUAUGCGCUUGUUGGUGGGGUAGUGGCUUACCAAGCCUUCGACGGGUAGCCGGCCUGAGAGGGCGAACGGCCACAUUACGACUGAGAGACGGACCAGACGCCUACGGGAGGCAGCAGUGGAAAAUAUUGCGCAACGGGCGGGAGCCUGAUGCAGCAACGCCGCGUGCGGGAUGACGGCCUACGAGUUGUGAACCGCUUUCGCCUGUGAUGAAGCGUGAGUGACGGUAAUGGGUAAAGAAGCACCGGCUAACUACGUG